rnacentral:rRNA from 1 species
GAUGAACGCUAGCGGCAGGCUUAAUACAUGCAAGUCGUGGGGCAGCAGGAAGUAGCAAUACUUUGCUGGCGACCGGCAAACGGGUGCGUAACACGUACGCAACUUUCCCUUUACUGGAAGAUAGCCCACCGAAAGGUGGAUUAAUACUCCAUACUAUAAUGAAACGGCAUCGUUUUAUUAUCAAAGCUCAGGCGGUAAAGGAUGGGCGUGCGGCUGAUUAGAUAGUUGGCGGGGUAACGGCCCACCAAGUCUACGAUCAGUAGCUGAUGUGAGAGCAUGAUCAGCCACACGGGCACUGCGACACGGGCCCGACUCCUACGGGAGGCAGCAGUAAGGAAUAUUGGUCAAUGGACGCAAGUCUGAACCAGCCAUGCCGCGUGAAGGAUGAAGGUCCUCUGGAUUGUAAACUUCUUUUAUAUGGGACGAAACACUUUCUUUCUAGAGAGCUUGACGGUACCAUAGGAAUAAGCACCGGCUAACUCCGUGCCAGCAGCCGCAGUAAGAC